UUCAUUAGUUGCUCCAGAAAACGUGCAAGAUCAUCGUCUUUUACUCUCCAGAAGUCUGACUCACAGCCCAACAGAGAUACAACACUCUCUCAGAAAAGAGGAAGAUCAUCUUCCUUUACCAUCCUUCCUACCUUUCCCCCCUCCCAGACAGUAAAGAAGAAUAACAUAUUCAUGACCUCAGCUCUUCUUCGAAGGAACACUGACA
rnacentral:lncRNA from 1 species